rnacentral:lncRNA from 1 species
GUCUCUGGUUUGCUGUAAUGACAGUGAGAACUAACUACUCAUACAAUUUCUCUCAAGCAGCUACUGGACUGAGUGGGGGAAAUAACACAUUUUAUGCAUGACUGAUUGCAUAAACCCUUCAUUUUAGAGAAACAAGCCUCAAAUGAGUAAUUUAUUUAUAGAAAUGAAAACCAAAUAAAUAAUACUUGUUUUCAAGGAACAAAUGAAAGAAAAUCUCAUUUCCAAACAUAUUUUCUUUUUUUAAUCCAAAAUGAAAGGCCAAGAAGAUACUGUAACACAUGCAAGGAGUUACACGUUAGUGACAUUUUUAAAAAUUAAGAAAAUUACAUGUUAGAUUUGUUAUAAAUACCUGCUUUACAGGUUUUGUAUUUCUUUGAUCAGAAAAAGGGAAUCUGUGGACAUUUUGCGACAUUAGUCUACCUUAUUUGUAUUAAUUUAUGCCUACUGUCUAUACUAACAGAAUUGAUAUUUUCAGUUUAUUUGCUUUUAAUUGCUAAGCAUUUUUUUUUUUUGCCAUUCAUGUUUUGAACAAUAGAAAACAGUUGCCAGGCUUUUGCAUAAGAAGCACGUCUUAAAAUAUGUAACAAUUUAUUAUGAAGUAUAGAUUUUAUUAAUGGUUUAAGUAUAAAUAGCAAGUUUAUAUUUUGGCAAAUGAUUUUCCUUUUCUAUAUUUAAUUGGCUAAGUGUAGUUUCUUUAAUCGUCGGAAAAUUAAUGGGAAAAUUUGAGACACUGCUAAAUAAUGAUAGCGCUCACACCAAUUAUCCUCACUGUACUUUAUAGUUUACUAAUAACCACCUCAAUCAAGGUGUCUUUCACUGAAACAAAUCACUCAACUUUAUUUCAGUUAUAUAGUUUGUAAUGACCCGUUGAAGUAUAAUAUACUCCCCUAAUUAAGAAAUGAUGUGAACACGGUGUGAAUGAGGCUGAUGUGAAGCAGGGGGGAAAGAGGCAAAUAUCCAUCUGAUCUACUUAGUAUUCAGGGGCACACAACCCUUCCCAGGCUCAGCCAUGUGGUGAACUCAUGGCCACAUGCUCUGUCCAACCGCAAACACCAUUAUAUCCCCUCCCAGCUUCUUCGGCCAGCCUUGCUGCUUUUCAUCUACUGGGACACUUUGUGGAUAAAGAGAAAGGCUCUGCUUGGAAGGAAUCCCCUCCCCUCUCCCCCUGCCUCCUAGUGUCAUUUUGUCCUCUAUCUACACUUGAAUGUGCUGGCAAUAAACCUGUUUUGAUAAGCAGGAUUUGCAAAUCUGGCCUCUCUGGGCUGCGACUUCACGUCAAUAUUUGUGCCCAACAUCUGAAUAGAGUGAGGGUCCCAGUGCACUGUUCUCUCCCCUAACUGUCUUUCAUCAUAGUUAGUACCUUAUUCAAUGUGAUUUCAGAUGCAUGGGGAGUACUGUGGAAUCAUGCUGAUAAGAUGAUAAAGAACAAAAUUUAUCUCAUUUUUGAAGGAAAUCCACUUAGAUUUGUAUUGUUUAAGAAUACAUUACCAUUUAGCCAUCUUACAUAUUUCAAGACACAGAAAAAUACCUGUUUGGCAAGGUAGCAUGUUUAAGUAUAAAUGAACCCAGUUUGUUUGUGUAAAUCUCGUCUUGUUCUGGAGAGGAUUUAAGGCAGCUGAACAAGGUAGGUGAACAUAUUGAAUAACGUUUAAUAAAUGGUUAGCAAUCAGAAACAUGUUGGAAAGGCAUGAAUCAAGCACAGGGUUUGGGGUCUCUGUUAUCACAAGGCAAAACGGACCCAUCAGUAGGCUCCCAAGGAUGUUAUAUGACCCGAGCACAUCUAUGCCCCCAAAAAGGAUGGUGUCAGCAGAUGGUGAUAGCCACAUGAUUUCCCACACUUGAUAUCAACCUCAGAAUAUAUGGCAGAAAGUUUGGAUCAUGCUCUCCACCUACUAUUCAUUUAUUGUCCCCAGAGAUCAUGCUGUUUACCUCAGGGCCGAAGGCAGGCUGGAGGCAGACAGAUUCCAGCCUUUCUUACAAAUGGAUGUUUAUUUCUUCCAAACAGUAAUAAAUUGAACCUCUUUUUACAUUUAAUCUCCAACCCUAAACUCAGCAUUUUUGAUAAGUUGGCCCCUGGUCAACCUUACCCAUAUAAUUAAAAAUUGACUUUUCAUUCCUGAGACAGAGGUAAAAGAAUGGAUUCGACCUUUUUUUCCCGAUAUUUCUUUGCAUGUGAAAUAUGUUCCGCACCUGCAAUUCUUCUCUUCCAUGCAGUGUUCUUCCUCUCACAUUUUCUCUUCUGCAGAAGAAGCAACAAAGUUAAAUGGGCUCUUAAGGCACAAGAUACCAAAUCCAUUUCUGACUCUCAGUUUGCUCACUGUGCAAACAUGAGCAGCUUAUGCAACUUCUAGAAAACCCCCAAGUCUUAGUUUCCUCAUGAGUCAAGGGAGAUGAGAAUGUCUGCCCUGCAGGAUUGCUGAAAUAGUUAAAAAUUCCGAAGAUUCUCAGUCUCCUUGCACAAUGCCUGGUACAGAGAAGGUGCUCAAUAGGUGCUAAUUCUUUCCUUUUCUCAGGCUCUUCCCCUCCCUAAAAACUUGAAGGCAGAGAGAAAGAUACACUCUGAACUUAGGGCCACCUAAAUCUUUAUUCAAAUAUUCCUGUAUUUGAUUUUUUAAAUAAGUAACCAAUUGAUUUUUUUAAUGGAGGCUUCAUUACAUAGGCAUAAUUGAUUAAGAACUGAAAUGAACUCAUUGCAAAGUACCAUUUUAAAGAAAAGCCAUACACAGCUGUGAUGAGCACCGGGUAUUCUAUGUAAGUGAUGAAUCACUAAAUUCUAUUCUGAAACCAGUAUUAUACUGUGUUAACUAACUGGAAUUUAAUAAAAACUUGAGAAAG